UAGCAGCUGAUGCAUGAGCUAACAAGGUAUAAUGAGCUGCUAUGUAUGGCUCUGUUGAGGAAUUACCCCUAGAACAAUUGACACCAAAUGGAGCUGAACAUCGCUGUGGUGGAAGAAAUCCAACAUCGUAACCCCCAAGUAUAAAAACAUUAUGCUCAUUAAUAGUAGUCCAUUGCAAAACUCUAUCCCCGAAAUUUUUGAAGCACGCAUCUGCAUAUGCAGUGAAGUCUUUUCUGCAUCCACCAAAGUGUUCCAUCAUGAUCAUCAUGGAUCCCCCAAUUCUGCAUGUCCCAUGUAAAACUGACCAAUAAAAGUUAGGAACUUACACAAUUUUUCGACUAACCCAUCCUCCAUACUCAUCAUCAAGUGCCUGCGGGAGAUCACUGUAAAGUAGCAUGUGGUUCGAUUCCUGGUUUAAACAAACAAAUUAAUUUAUUAUCAACAUUAGGAUUUGUUGAUCUCUAUAGCUACUCAAUUAUUGAUAGUAUAAGCAACGAAACUGUGGUUCAUAAUUUAGAUAGAUUGUUACCAUGGGUGAUCAGUUCAUCAAUAAGAUUGUUGUAAUAUUGUACACCCUUCGGAUUGACAGGUCCUCUUCCAUCCGAGAGAAACAAGCCGAAUAUUGAUUAAGUGCGUCAAAAGCUAAGAGCAAGAAAUCGUUACUUCUUUUGUUUAAUCUGAGUUACAAUUCGUUGAUCAUGCAUACUUGGGAUAAGUCUUGACCAUGAGAUGGAAAAUCUAUAUGCCUCCAAACCAGUAUCCACCAUUAGUUGGACAUCUUCCUGAAAUGGUUUGAAUGAACUUGAUCAUGCAUAAAUCAUAUUCCAACCAUAAUCCAUGAUAUAAUGAUGCGUAGUAUAAAACAACAGCAGCAUAUUUCUAAAUAGUAUGAUAUUGAUUUCUGCAAUACAAAAGAACUACUAGUCCUGAAUCGUCUAAACAAAAAUUGAACUGGAUCUUGCAGAGUAUAGACCUUGUAUUUGUGAUACUGAUCACACGCUACAUCUCCAGUAGCUCCAUCACAAUUACCUGAAAUUUUGGGAGUAAAGCAGUGAAUUAAUAAAGAUCUUGAUACAUGUAAGUGAUCGUGCAAGUUCAAACAAACAACAAUAUCAAAUUCAAUUAUUGUUUAGUUGGUUUUAAUUGAUAAUGAUCAAUUGUUUAACCCUCAACGAGUCAACAUAAACAUACAUUCUUUUUACUUGGUUCACAAUGAUAAGAAAUGUCACCUGGUUUCCAAUUUACUGAGAAAAUCACAUCUGAUUAGUAAAUCAAGCUUGUCAAUGGUUUUCAAUGGUCAAAUUUCAAAUGUGAAUAAUAUUUUACUUGCAAGUGUUGGGUUUUUGUUCUACUCCCUAAUUUCCUUGAUUAUUCUACCCCUAUUUUCAACUUUCAUUUUACUUAUAUUAGUACUAAAUGCUUCGCCUCCAAUGGCAAAUUGAUUGACUCGUUCAGAAGAAAUUUACACAUUAGUUUCUCAAAAAAAAUUUACACAUUAGUGAAUUUGGUAUUUUAAAAGUUUCGUAGAAGCCCUUGAUGAUUUUCUUAUUUUCAAAUGUAUUUCUCUGUCAGUGAUUUGUAUUUCAAUUAAAAGAAUACUUUUUUAUUUUUAUUUUUACCAAACGCUCUAGAAGUGAUUUUGGUAAGACCUUAAUCACUCUCAAAAAGGCUGUAACCUCUAGUUAUAUAACAAUUUUCAACUAGCCUAAACUAAUCAUACGAAAAGAUGUAUGUACUCUAACUGCGGACAGUCCAGUAGUACAGUUGUUUAAAUCUAAAAUUGUUCACCUAGUAGGUACAGCAUCCUAAAGUUGCAAUACUCUAACCUAAUCAAUUUUAUUUGGAUGCACUACAUUCACACUUGCUAACUAACUCUCUAAUAGGUGGAUCGUAUAGUUUACUGUGAGAUCCACCUGUGUUAUUUUUAUGUGUUUAAAUAUCAUUUUUCUAAUCUAGUUAAUCUAGUUAACCACACAUAGCCUCAAUAAACAAAACCAGGUCUUCACCUUUCACAAGUUAUAAAUUAGAAAUGAAAACAGUAAAUAAUUAACCACUUAGACUUAUGAUCCGUUCUUGAUUUUGUAUUUUUGUAUGAAGAUUUAAUAGUUAAAAAAUUGGAAGUAUCCCAUCAUACUCCGGAACAAGAUAAAAAAUUCAUAAUAUUAUAUGGAAAAUGUGAUAUAAAAAUAGUGGAAGCUAACCGGCAUGGGCAUAUGUGUCCAAGAUGCUUGGGGUCCUUCCGUCUUGGUCUGCAGCAUCUUCCACCUAUUCAUGUAGAAUUAGUUUUGAACCAACCCCAUUCCAUCAGUUUCUUCUCUUCUCUUUGUCAAUUGAAGCGUAGGACUAGUAAUACAUACAAAACCAUAUAUAUAUAUAUAUAUAUAGGGGCUUAUAUUAAUGUGAGAUACUAAGAUAUAUCUAAUUAAAAUUCUUAUUAUCCCAUAAUUUGUAUGCAUAUAUAUAUAUAUGCACAUAUAUGAAUACAUGUAUACAUAAAAAGAAGAACCUGAUAAGCAGAGGAGGAAGCACCAAACACGAAGCCUGGAGGGAAGUCAUCUCUGCUAUAUUUAUCAACGCAUAAAGAAAGUUUUAUGAGAAGAAAACACAGAAAAAAUGAAACUCUCAGCAUGAGUAAUAACACAAGUAUGCAGCAAGAACUCAGAAGGGAAGAAGUUUCAAAAGGCAAAAGUUACAAGGAGAUUUGAGUGGACACCCUUUAAUUUGUUAUCCGCACUUUAGAGCAAAUCGUAGACUCCAAAUCCUUCUUUAUUAUCUUUUCUAUUGUAUGGUUGUUGAGUUGACUCCAGGUCUUGUAUGAAUGGUUCGAAAUAGCCAUUGGAACUGGAUGGAUUUUACAAUCAAUUGAUCGUUGAGCGGUACACUUCAAUGCAAGAGCCACACUGGCACUGUACCCGUCAAAAUGACUUGAUUGAGCACCAGUGGGGAUUGCAACAAGGUGAAGAUAAUUAAAAGGAGUUUGUGGUGGAAGAAUAAAGUUCUUAGUUUAUUUAGUGUAUUUUUUAAAUUUUAUUUGGUGAGUUUAUGUAAUUUUAUUAAGUGUGUUUUUUUUUUUUAAGUUUAUUUGGUGAGUUUAUGUAAUUUUAUUUAGUGUGUUUUUUUUUUAAGUUUAUUUGGUGAGUUUAUGUAAUUUUAUUUAUUGUGUUUUGUUAAGUUUAUUUGGUGAAGUUUAUGUAAUUUUAUUUAGUGUGUUUUUUUUUUAAGUUUAUUUGAUGUGUUUAAAUAAAGUACUAAACAUAUUUAAGAAAUUACAUCUAGUACUACAAAUAAAUAAGAAAUUACAUAAAGUACUACAAAUAAAUAAGAAAUUACAUAAAGUACUAUAAAUAAAUAAGAAAUUAAAUAAAGUACUAAAAAUAAAGAUGAAAUUACAAGUACUAAAAAUAAAGAAGAAAUUAAGUAAAGUACUACAAAUAAAUAUGAAAUUAUACAAAGUCUGUGGAGCUAGGAUAUGUGGUGCUAGGAUCUUCGUUGGCUAGGAUCUGUGUAGCUAGAAACCCCUCGACUUGUUUCCGCGUCUCUUGCACGCCUCCUUAGCACCACGUCUCUUUUUUUCCGAUGUCCAAAAAUAUUUUGAAUUCGAAAGACAUUCCUACUAGAGGUUUGUUCAUAGUGUCACGAUCUUGCUAGAGCCAUAAUUUCUUCUCUGAGCAUCUCGUUUUCUAUUUUCUUGAUUAAGUUCUUCUCUAAUCAUCUUGUUUUCUCGAUUAAGUAUUUCUUGUUGACUCUCAGCCGCCGCAUCACGUCUCUCUUGUAGUGUCUACAAAAUGUGGGAUAAGACAAUAUUAUAAAAUGCAGGGUGUAAGACAAAUAAAUAAAUUAAAAUAUUGAUGCCGGAUGGAAUACAUAUAAAUAAAUAAAAAUAUUAUCACUUGAUCCGCUAAACUUGUCCCACUAUGCAAAUUACUGGAAAGCAAUCGAGAGAGCAUUUUUCUAACUAGUAAAGGAUAUGUUGAGUUUUUUCCAACAACCUUGAAGACUUUGACUCUUUCUGGCACCUUUUCCAAGCCUAGCGCAAAACGCUUCCGUAAUUCUACUCCACAUUACUCGCAACUCCAUCUCAUUACCCGUAAUCAGGUCAUGAGUAAUUUGAACCCAGCAUUUACAAACGAAACAUCUUCGAUGAGCUUCCACACAACCAUUUUUUUCACACAAAAAGUAUAUGAAAGCUUUGGUUGAAAGUGUUGAAAAUAUUAAAAUGUGGUGUAAGGUGGGAGAUAAGGGUUAGGUAUUUAUAGAAAAAAAUUAAUUUUUUUUAAUUUUUUUAGUAUUUGUUUAUUAAUUUUUAAUAAUUUUAAUUUAGUUAAUUAAUCUGGAUUAUUGGAUUUGAAAAAGAUUCAAAUCCAACAGCCCAAAUGUUGACACAUGGCCAACGAUCAUAAUUUUGAUCUCUUGAUCGAAUGGCUCUGAUCACGCCAUGUCACUAGCCGUUGGUUUUCAAAUUCAAUUUUUUUUACCAUUGGAAAUCCAACUGGUCCAGAAAACAAGACGUUGGAAAUCCAACGGCCUAGAACGAGCCACAUGGCUUCUACCCGUGCCCUUUGUAGUGCCUGCAAUGGCAGGCUCCACUGCCUGUUUUCAGUCCACAACACGCGCCUACGCGCACAUUGUUUCCCAUGCGCCUGAUGUAAAAAAAAAUAUCAGUGUGAUGUGACGUCACAUUGGCGUCAGCAUAACGUCACAUAGGCUAGCUGAUUGCUUCAGCAUAUUUUGGGCCGGCUUAUGACCUAGCUUGGGCUGAAGGCCAGCCUAGGAGUGUUUUGGGGGGAUGCCGGUCCAUUUUUCACACUUUGAAGCCGACCUACCCCUUGGGGUGGACUUGCUCUUAUGUAACCCCUAUUUAAUAGAUUUCAGAAUUACCCAAAUUUAUUCUUGUUGAGCUGCAUUCUGAUGAUGUGAUGGAUUACAUGAAGUAAUCCAUUUCCCACAGUUGUGACCCCAAAACUUGCUCUAUAUCCGAUCAUUUCUUUAUCUCUGUCUCUCCCCUCCUUGUCGGUGUGCACAACAACGUGCUUAACCGCAUUGGAUACCAUCUUGGGCAUUGGGCAGGGAAUAACAUUUGCCAUUGGAAUUAAUCAGGAAUUAACCAUUUGAUAACCAUUUUUAGUUUUCAGCUUUUGGUUUUACUUCUUCUGAAAAUCAAAAAUUAAAAUUUUGUUUGGUAAUUAUUUUCAUUAUUUAAUUUUAAAAAAAAAAUUGAGCAAGUAGCCCUCUUCAUCACCACAGCGUGAGUUCGAAUUUCGUCGACUCCUUAAAUUAACAUCUAAUCUUAACAAAUUUAUCGUUUAGCACAAAAAAAAAAAAGUGAAUACUUAAUCCGGCGGUCAAAUGGGUUAUUUGGUAGUUUCUCAAACUUUAAAUUCAUUAGUUUCCAAAAAAAAAAAAAAAAAAAACUUUAAAUUCAUUAUGAAUACUUAAUCCCUCUGAAGUGAGAGUAUAUCAUGUCUUAGAGAAAAAUUAGAUGAUAAAGCAAUGGCGGAUUCAAAAUUCUAAUACCACGGAAUUGCAAUGUAAAUUGUUUACAUUAUUUAAAGACCGAAAUAGCAUGCACAUCGUGUAAUUUAUUCUUUGGUAUCUUGAAUGAGGCAUGCUAUAGGUAUCUUUCAUCAGAUGUUAUGACAUUGUCAAUAUCUGUCAAAAUCUACAAAGGCAUGUCGUCGAUAUUUUUCAAUAGCUGCCACGUCGUGCUAUUGAAUCAUGUCAAGCAUCUGCCGAGUCUGCCGAGCAAACAUUUCAUUGAACGGUUGGUGGGCAUUUCUAGGUCCAAAAUCAGAUAGCCAUAUGGUUCUUAAGGACAAGGAUUGUCUGCCCUUCCACUUCCGGUGCCCUUCUGUUUUGUGUGGUCACGGUUAAGCCACGUCAACAUUUUAUAUUGUUUUUUUUUAUAGAGAUAAUAAGACAAAAAUGAAUAGUAAUAUAAAAUGUUGACGUGGCUUGAUGCAAAAAUUAUCUUAACACACAAAUUUAAUCCUCUUUUGACAAUUGUAGUACAAGUAUAAGUAGGGAUCGUUCUGGACCGGGGAUUAGGAGGGCUUGCUAAUAACCUCUAAACUGACUUAAAAACAUAAAACUAAACUUAAAAAUACUUAACAAGACUCACAAGACUCAAAGCAAACUUAAAAUACUCAAAAUAGCUUAAAACAACUAAACACUAGUACAAAAAAGACUUUACGCGACGUAGGACCGUCGUCGCUCAAAGUCAAAAAUACGUCGCCCAAAAAUUAGCCAAACGAACCUUCGUCGCACAAGAACCGUCACGCGAAGGCAGUGAAGGAAGGGUUUGUGCGACGCAUCCCCUAACUACGUCGCGCUAAGUACCUUUGCGCGACGCAGGUCCUACGUCGCGCAAAUCUACUUAGCGCAACGCUCCUAACUACGUCGCGUAAAGCUACUUUGCGCGACGUAAGACCUGCGUCGCGCAAAUGUACUUAGGGCGACGAGACUAACUACGUCGCGCGACGUAAGACCUGCGUCGCGCAAAGUAGCUGACGUAGUUAGGCUCUGCGUCGUGCAAACCUUUUUUUUUUUUUGUCAUUUAUAUUUUGUCAUUUAAUUUUUUAUAAAUAUUAUAAUUAAAUUCUGAACAAUUAUUAAUAAACCAUGAAAAAGUAAUUAAUUAUAGAAUAUAUGAAAAUGUACGUUUGUCCGAACAAAAAAAUAAAAAACUACAAGUCUUCUAAGUUUAAUACAUCAUGCUACUCGAUAUCGUCUGGGCGAAAUGGCUGGGAAGUCGAAGCUGGAGCAACAUUAGGUGCUAGCAUCGUCGGGAUUUGGAGGCCGGACAUCGCUAAGGCCUGAACAAUCAUAUUCAUCCUCUCGUCCUGGGCCUUAAUAUGGUCGCCCUAGGCCGCAACCUGACCUCUUAGGGUUGUCACUUCCUCCUUCAAGGAAUUGACCUUUCCUGUGGACAAUUUGGAAGAAGAGGCACCCGUUUCACGAACCCCCGCCUUCCCCGUACACCGAACAACCUUACCAUGACAACGACCACACUUCUGAUCCAGAACCUCAGUCAUGAUCUGAACAUCUGCAUCCUUGGGUACAAUGACGUCCUCGAUCGGGGUCUCUGGGGAAAGCUGCGAUGUUGCUUCUUGGAGAAUAGCAGUGCUCUUUUCCACCAUAUCACCCUGUAAUAAUAAAAAAAAAACAUAUAAUGUUUAAUAACAAAAUAUAAAUAAUAUUUGAACGAUUCAUAAAAAUAAGAAAAAUAACAAUUACAUAUACUUACAUAAAGUUGGUCACUGUUCUCAUUGUUGGGAUGAACAUAAACAUGCUUGAACAAGUCAAUCUGUGGGAACUUAGAACCCUCCUAAAGAAAAAAAAACAUUAAGAAAAUUUUAUUAAUCAAUAAUAAAAAAUAAAUUGUAUAAAAUUUCAAAAUUAAUAUACUUUUACCUCACGUCGUGCCUCAACCCUAUACGAAAAGGGCUUCGAACCAGAAUGGUGGAGAAGUAUCUUUGAGUCCCGAGCUUUCUUGCCAUCAACAUAUUUCUUCUGUUAAACAUACAAUAUAGAUGUUAGUGCGACUAUUUGAAAGAAAUUAUUAAAAAAAGCUUAAAUAAAAUAACAAAAACAAUAAAUUAUUAUUAACUUCAUCCAUAGCUGAGUGGGCAACCCUGUAGGCGAGCAAUCUCCGGAGAUUCCCAUAGCUGAAAAUGCUUGUGAAGAACGCUCUUCCAAUCUUUGUACCGGCUUGCUAAGGUUUCCUCUAAGUAGGCACUGACCUCAGGGGAUAUGUCCUCCAUUUCAAAAACGACCUACAAAUAUGAAAAACAAAAUGACAAACAAAAUGACCAUGUAUCAGAAUAAUUGACAACUAGUUUAUAAGGUAUUGAUAAAGUUUGUCGGUUUACAAUAAUAACUAGAAUCUUAAUUUGUUAGGAAGCAAACAAUAUAAUGUUUAUUUUCUGAAAGAUCUCAAGAGUGGGGUUCUGAUCUCCCAUGCGAGCCUCUUUCCACCGGUACAAAGACCAAAGGUGGAAAUUCAACCUUAAAUCUUCUCACCAAUACAAACUACAUCAUGGAUGAUGAUCAUAGAAAUGUGAAGGAGAGGGAAAAACAAAGGUAGGUAAGACAGGCUACCAAGAAUACAAUAAUGGUGAUUCCAUAAAAUGGUACUAAAAAUUUAAAACGCAGUCGCAUUUAUAUGUUUCUUUGCAAAAUGAUAAAUUGAAAUGGCAGGCAUUUCAUCAUAAUUAAGCUCAUCUAAAUAUUAAAUCCAAAUAUGAACCUCAACAAAGGUUUCUUCGCAACAUAAUUUGGACUUCAAACAUAAGAUGAUGGCUGCAAGGAAUAACUCUACACACCCACUUCACACUCUUUCACUGAGUCAUGAGUACACUUAUGAACACAGAAUUUUUUUCAUUUUUUUUCUUCUGUUUUAACAGAUUAAUAUUGAGAGGACAAAAUGGAUUGGAAUACAGAAGGACAAAAGCUAAUAAAUAGUGUUCUUGAUACUUACUUACUGCUUAGCAACAGCACAACUAAUAAAAAGGUUCAGCACGAUAAUACUAUCGGGAUCUCCUCAAUGACAACCCCGUUAGCGACUCCAAAACUCAGUGCAGAAACUUAAUAAUUUGUACGACAAGAUUUGUAGCCCAGGACACUAGCCAAGGUGUUUGUUCAUGUUUAAGUUUGGUAAGCUGAAUGACAACUGAUGGUUUACCAGGAAUCACUAAAGGGGGUGAACAAUAAACAAUCCCGGUAUUCUGCUUCCAACAAUUUUUCUACAUAAUCCCCUGUGUUUCAUUUCAAUCUACCAAACCAUCUACUUAGAAUAUCACCGAGAUACGAACAAGGCCAUACUAUUGACUCGCAUUUUACCAUGAAAUCAAAUCAAUAUCAUUUCACUAUCACCGACUACUGCAGAAUUGUACAUUGACAAGUGUCAAACCUUUAAUGUUCAAACCAUAAGGUUAACACUCAAAUUAUUUAUCAAAUUCCUUUCCUUAGCACAAUUUCUCAACAAAGGAUUUAACUCGACUAUUUAAGGCUGCUUUUGUAGUUCACUUUAAUAAAUAAAACCAGGACAACAACUAAAAACAAUUCACUAUCAAAUUGAGGCAAAGUCAAGAACCAUACAUAGGACUCGCUCGGUAAAAGAUCGAUUAUUUGAUUAGUAUAGCCAGUCCCAAGAAGCACUUAAUGAUUAAAACAAAACAUCAUGUAUAGGCAUAAUGUUUAGGUAUCACGAUGCUGCUCAACCAGUGGAUACUAUGGAUCAGGUUAAUUGAUGCACAACACAAGCAAAGCAAUGUACUAGAGACGGCAUGCAUACUCACCUAAACACUAUCAUAAAUCAUUAAGCAAGGACGUAGACCAAAACUAAAAACCCAUAAAUAUGCAUCAGAUAAGAUAGUAAUCCUUCCACCUAACCAACAUAAUCAUUAUUUUAACAAUGGUUCACGGAAUUGUUUUUCAAUUUCCUUCCCAGGAAGCAUUCAGACAACAAAGAACAGUGCCGCAAAUCACUGAAAUUAACCAAAACUAAAGGACCACACCUGCUCCCAAUUAUGAACAGAAGAAGAGUGUGCAAAAUACAUGACCAAAUUAUUCACCACAACAACACUCGGCUAUCAGGUGCAAAACAAUGAAAUGCACCUGAUUUCUCAUUCCCCCCUACAUUUUCUUAGCAACCAAACAGAAAUUGAGAGAAAGAUCUUGACUUUACUAAUCAAGAUGAUGGCCCUGCACUAGUUUAAGCAGAGAAAGAUGUUGACUUUGCUAAAAAUUAAUAUACUAACCUCCAAAUUGUCUCGCACCAGGGUCCUUGUCUCCUCGGGAAUUUUUGCCCAACUCUCCCACUGCAUAGGACAAAAAUUCCUAAUAAUAAAACCACAGCAAUUAACGACGCUGUUAUGCUGCUGUGAGGUAACCACUCCACGAUGUCGCUCAUCAUACGCAAUCUUGAUCAAGAAGGCAGACAUACGUACAAGCUGUAGCUCCUUCAACAUUCGAUUGGGUCCCCUGGUGUUUUUUUUAGCUGCCCAAAAAAACUUAAAUGGUAAACACCCUAAGCUUAAAUUUGUACAUAAAAUUCGGCAAAACCUCCCCUAAUCAUAAAAGUACCUUAAAACAGUAAUUCACAACCCGCAACACAUUUUCACAAUCAUAAAAGUAAUAGCAUUUCCCAAAACCUUAAAACAGUAAAAUAAUAGUAAUUCACAACCCGCAACACAUUUUCACAAUCCAGCAAAUUUUCAUCAUCAUAAAAAUAAUAGUUUUAAAAUGAAAAAAAAAAUUACAACGUAGUGAGAAUUAGAAAAAACUACCUGGUGGCUGGAAGGCCUCACCCUCAACUUUGGAUGCCGAGGAAGUCUGAUCAGAAGGCUCUGGGUCCCGGCAGCGUCGGUGAGGCCGCCGUGCACUGAGCAACUCAACGGACACUGAUGACGUCGAUGAGACGGGCACUUGGGACACCGUAGAAGUAGCCUCAACAUUGGGUGUAGGCUCCCCAAUCAAUGGAGCACUCACGGCUGGAGCAGUAGAUGCUGAUAAUGUGGGAGGCGCAUUGGUCACAGUCCGACGACGAGUAAUCAACUUCGACAUCUAUAAGUAGGAAUGAAAUGAAUCUUCUCGUUCCGCAUUAUAAUUGGAGAGUGUUAAGUAGGAAAGGUAAACCCUUUCAAUGCAAUACUUGAAAAAGAAAUAACAUGAAAAUAAAAACAAUAAUAAAAUAAAACUGAAAGAGAGAACAACAUUUAGAAUUUAGUGCCUGGGGAAAGUAAACAGCUAUAGUUCUUCAACAUCUAUGGUUAGAUAGAAUGCUUUGAUUGCAUACAUUUUACCUGUAGGAGGCCAGCUAGAUAUAUGAAAGACUUAUCCUGUAAAUAAAAUAUGAUGUUUUAGUAACCACGCCUAGCGAUAUUUCGUAUCAUUGUUCAAAUUGAAAGCACAAAGACGGAGUCAAAACAUUAAACAAACUACAGCGAACGAAAAGGAAGUUCAACCAUACACCAAGGGAAAAAAGGAACUCUUUGCUUAUAUAUAUAUAUUACCGGUCUUUAUCUUAAAUUACUUGCAGUGGGAGUCACAAUAAACAUACAUAUUAGUUAUAUUUGGUCUUCAAAUAAGCAUACAAAACCAACUCUAUCCGCAUGCAAACUUAAAGCCUCGGAUUUUCCUAAAUUGUUUCACGAACUUUUGCAACACUCGUACUACUGAAGAUCACAGGACAUAUUGUAUGUUUUCAACUAGUGUAUCCUCACUCGGUCAUAUUGUCUGCUUAAAGAAAAUCAAAUAGAUACGAGUUGCCUGCCUAUUAUUGGUGUGAUUUCAACUGUUUGACAUGAUUUACAUACAAAAAUAUGGGACCGAGGAGCAUGACUGAAAAUCAAUUGGUCAGCUAUAAGAGAAAACGAUUAUAAAUACCCCAAACUAUAGAACAUAGACCACACAAACUUUAGAACAUAGUUGUAACAUCUCAACCUCAGAACUUCCUCUCUGGACAGACUUCAGAGUGCUUUGACUCAUACUCAGAGCAAAAAGUAGUUCGGAACAAAACACGACACAAGUGUAGACAUAGAAACAAGGAGAUGAACUCCAAACAGGAAACAAUGACAAGAAUAUAUCACAGCUUCACUCGUUGCAACGUACGGGAAUCACAUAUAUCCCUAUUAAAGGUGGCCCAACGUGGCUCAAUACUUACUGCCAUCAAAUUAAAUACAUGGAAUACAAAGGUGUUAAAGAAACAAAAUUUAUCUUGUAAACUAUACCUAAAUAUGUAGGACUAUAAGCUAUUAAUUAACAUAGAUGUGGUAAUCAAGUUAAUAAGCUAGAGAGAAUACCACUAAACAAAAGAACAGAAAAACACAAAAUCACCUUUCUCCAAUAAGUAGUUUUAAUAGACAUAAUCAAGCCAUCUUAUUCACAUCGGAUUAAAGAACUUGCAAUGAUCAUAAUCACCAUGAAGCCAAUGCCAGCAAUCUCCAUAAAAAUUUGUAGAAAACUGAAAUGGUAUUAAGAAAUAAAUAACAAGCCUCAUGGCAGCAACAAUUUGCAAGUUUAGAUGGCAACUCGGCAUUCACAGCCUCUGAUUCCUAGAUUUUAAGUUGUAAAUAAGUUAUUAUAACUAUACAUUCGCUACAGAAAUCUAAAUACUUUGAAAUAAAUAUGGGAUUAUAGGAAUGGUGGGAAAAAAACAUUUGAAACUAAUGUAUUAGAGAAUUAGAGAAAUUAGGUUUCAGCGGUACAAAACCCAUCACAACCUCGUAUGCAUCUCCAACUAAAAGAAAACUAGUUAAACAAAAACCCAUCACAACCUCGUAUGCAUCUCAAAUUAAUGUAUUACAGAAUUAGAGAAAUUUGGUAACAGAUAAAUUUGUGGCAAAAACCCUAAAUAACAAAAACCCAUCGAAAAUCAGAAACCCUUACCUUGAUUUUGGGACUUGAUUCGCGUCGGCUUCGAGAUUCCCGUGGUGGCCUGUUGUUUGGGUUCAAGGUCUGGGUUCGACAACCCAAGAGGUAAGACAGGAUUUGGGGUCAACGGGGAAAGAAAUAGGGAAAGAAAGAGAGGGGGAUUUGGGGUCUAAGAGGAAAAAAAAAAAGGAGGGUUCAAGAUUUGGGAGGGAGGGUUCAAGAUCUGGGAUCUACGGGGAUAAUUGAAAAAAGAGCGCCCAUUUUUCACUGUUGUACCGUCAAAUUUAUCACAACUUGCACGACGUAGUUAUACAAUUUGACAUCGCGCAAAGUGGUUUUGCGCGACGUACGGGUCGCGCAAAGUAUUUUUUCAAAAAACAAAAUUAUUAUAAAAAUUACUGAAAAUAUGAUUUUCCUCCUUUCAAAAUUAUUUUUUUUUAAAUAAACCCCACAAAAAUAUAUUUUGCUAACAAAAACCCACAAUAAUUAUAUAUAUAUAUAUAUAUAUAUCAUUCAAUUUCUUAAGUGUUAUAAGUACAAAAUAAAUAAAUUAAAAUCUACUUUGUAAAUAUAUAUACCAUUGAACUUGAUGGGAUACGCAUUGUACGAAACUAGUUUCAAUGAUCUAACCGUCAAACUUGUCUGUAUAUACUUCGAGAUCGCAUACACCAAAAAUUGCAAAAAAACAAACAUAUAGAGAUUAAGUAACGGGACAAAACAUUUCAACGGAUAUAAACGAAAAAUCACGAUUUAACGGUUAAUUUAACUCCGAUUUUGAUGAAUUUUUACAGCCACACUCUUUAACCCUAUAUCAAUACAAUCAACUAAUUCGAUCGUCAAUUUAAAACAUUGACACAAGUGGAUACCACAAAAUCUUAUGUUAUACUUAAUGAAAGUAAAAUAAACUUUCAAGUGUUAGUGAAUCUAAUGUUUUGAUGGGAUACGCAUUGUACGAAACUAGUUUCAACGAUCCAACCGUCAAACUUGUUUGUAUAUGCUUCGAGAUCGUAUACGCCAAAAAUUGUAAAAAAAAAAUUUAGAGAUCAAGUAAUGGGACAAAACAUUUCAACGGAUAUAAACGAAAAAUCACGAUUUAACGGUUAUUUUAACUCUGAUCUUGAUGAUUUUUUAUAGCUACGCUCUUUAACCUUAUAUGCAUACAAUCAACCAAUCCGAUCAUCAAUGUGAAACAUUGACACAAGUGGAUACCAUAAAAUCUUAUGUUAUACUUAAUGAAAGUACAAGUGUUAGUGAAUCUAAUGUUUUGAUGGGAUACGCAUUGUACGAAACUAGUUUCAACGAUCAAACCGUCAAACUUGUUUGUAUAUGCUUCGAGAUCGUAUACGCCAAAAAUCGUAAAAAAAAAACAUUCAGAGAUCAAGUAAUGGGACAAAACAUUUCAACGGAUAUAAACGAAAAAUCACGAUUUAACGGUUAUUUUAACUCCGAUUUUGAUGAUUUUUUACAACUACGCUCUUUUACCCUAUAUGAAUACAAUCAACCAAUCUGAUCGUCAAUUUAAAACAUUGACACAAGUGGAUACCACAAAUCUUAUGUUAUACUUGAUGAAAGUAUAAAUAAACUUCAAGUGUUAGUGAAUCUAAUGUUUUGAUGGGAUACGCAUUGUACGAAACUAGUUUCAACGAUCCAACCGUCAAACUUGUUUUUAUAUGCUUCGAGAUCGUAUACGCCAAAAAUCGAAAAAAAAAAUUCAGAGAUCAAGUAAUGGGACAAAACAUUUCAACGGAUAUAAACGAAAAAGCACUAUUUAACGGUUAUUGUAACUCCGAUCUUGAUGAUUUUUUAUAGCUACGCUCUUUAACCUUAUAUGCAUACAAUCAACCAAUCCGAUCGUCAAUUUGAAACAUUGACACAAGUGGAUACCAUAAAAUCUUAUGUUAUACUUAAUGAAAGUAUAAAUAAACUUGAAGUGUUAGUGAAUCUAAUGUUUUGAUGGGAUACGCAUUGUACGAAACUAGUUUCAACGAUCAAACCGUCAAACUUGUUUGUAUAUGCUUCGAGAUCGUAUACGCCAAAAAUCGUAAAAAAAAAACAUUUAGAGAUCAAGUAACGGGAUAAAAUAUUUCGACGGCUAUAAACGAAAAAUCACGAUUUAACGGUUAAUUUAACCCCGAUUUUGAUGAUUUUUUACAACUACACUCUUUAACCCUAUAUGAAUACAAUGAACUAAUUUGAUCGUCAAUUUCAAAUAUUUACACAAGUGGAUACCACAAAAGAAAAAUGCAAUACAAGAACCCCAAAAGAAAAGCAAAAGGGGACAAAAAAAAUAAAAAACAAAAAGAAGACUUUGCGCGACGUAGGUACUCAUACGUCGCGCAAAACAUCUUUGCGCGACGCAAUCAUACCUACGUCGCGCAAAGUCUUCUUUAUUUUUAAUUUUUUAAUUUUUUAUUAUAUGGAGAUUAAAUCUCUACCUUUCAUUUCUACCACUGACUCUCGCCUCCUUUCUCGACUUGUCCAGGAUCCAUCCUUCUCUCUUAAGAUGGAUCCAUCCUUUCUCAAGAUGAGACUCUCGCCUGCCACCGCUUCCUCAGGACCUACUCCACCGCGCACUCCUCCUCUCGUUGAAGCUAUGGUGGUCUUCAUCGGCGCUACCACUACGGUGCCACGACUCGAUCCCGACUAUCAAGUCAACUCGCCCGUUCGACGACGACGGUUACCUGGGCUACGACCCCCGACUCUUCUCCCAGCGAUUCGAAUCCUUCGUCGACUCCGAGUCGCUCAAGGACUCCGCCACUGAUUCCCCAAUAUUCCACGGCUCCGCCACAGACGACGCUUUCGCUACUCAGCCGGCGUCUGAGGCCUUCUCUCCUCCCUCGAUCUACGACAAAUCGAACAGCCAGGGUUGGAUGACCGUCAUCUCCCCCUUCUUCCCCUUCCUGAUUGGUGUUGCUCGAGGCGUAUGGAUAAACGUCAUUUAGAAUAUUCAUAACUUGUUCAUUAGGAUCCACAUUAGAUUCAACAGUUUCUUAAGCUGUGCUCAGGGUCCUCUUCACCUGGAGGUUCGACAUUUGAAGAUUGCUACAACUCAUCUGAAUGACUGACUUUCUUCCUUCUUAAGGGAUAUACUUCUGUAGCGUUUUGUGAGAUGCUCCAGUUCCAGCAACAGUUUUUUGCUGAGUUCAACGUCUAUCAACAACGGACACUUAGGCAACAAUAGCAUAAUGGCAACAUAACCUCAAAGCCAAAUCAAAUCAAUGGGAUAUAGAAACUGAUGGUUUGGUAUAUCUAAUUUCUUAUCUAUUUCAGCGGACAAUUUUUUGUUUUUUAUAUUUUACAGUAAAGAAUCAUGGUUUUAAGAUCAAACAAACUAAAGUUCAAACAAACUUCAACAUCAAAAUGCCUUAUGACAUUACUUUAGUACAAUCCAGUUGAAAAAGUUAUGGUUACCAUACUAAAACUGAAGUUCAAAUAACGUCAACAUAUAAAUGUCUAAUGGACAUCAAAACGCCUUAUAAGCCUAUGUACGAACAAAUAAGUCGCUACAGAAAGAAGAGAUCUGGUGUAGAGAAAAAGAAAAUCAGCAAAAUAGUUAUCUCCUUUGAUUUUGCAAUUUCAAUUUCGUAAAUGAAUCACAUGAAGGAUCUACAUAUUAUUAAUUCAGUUUACAUCAUGUUUAAGAGCAAAGGGGAAGGAUUGCAAUCGAAAAAACACAAAGAAUUUAUAUCAAUUCAAACUUCAAACCUGAUCUGGUAGACGGUUUUGAAGAGAGAGAUGGACGAUUGAGGUAGCUGCUGCAACUGGAUAUGCAGUUUCUGCCUCCCAAACUGAUCAAAUGAAAAAAAAAAAGUUGUUGACUUUGCGCGACGCAUGCCCACCUACGUCACGCAAAACAACUUUGCACGACGUAGGUGGGCAUGCGUCGCACAAAGUUGGGAAAAAGCGGUAAAUUCUUUUGGUUUGGCGCCAAAAUUUUGCGCGACGAAGGACGGCGUCGCGCAAAAUGUCUUUGUGCUACGCCGUCCUUCGUCGUGCAAAAUUACGUCGCGCAAACGUGUUUUUGUACUAGUGAAAUAAACUUAAACUAGACACUAGGAAUGACUUUGGACGAAAAUUGACUUUUACUCGAAUCAAAACAUUUAAAAACACAAAUUAAAACAGAUUCUAACUAAUUAGACACACUAAAGUAAAGGGGGAUUGAGUUUUGGAUGAAGUUGAAACAAACAAACAAGUAUGAAAAACUAGACAAAUUGUAAAACAAAUUUGAGAAAUAAGAUGAUGGAUGAGAUAGCUAGAGGCAUUUUCUCCACACAUGAUAUGUAUGCAAACAACUCGAUUUCCAGUUACUACUUCAUUGAAUUAUGAAUGACAAUGCCCCAAAUUAACCGUGACAUCACUAGUUAACUCUCAGAUUUUCCUUGUUUUAUUGGAUUGGAUGACAUCAUUCAACAACCCAAAACAUUCUUCAAAAGUUCCAUACAUGACAUCAUAAUAGAGAUACUAUCAAAGAUCAUUACGUUUAAUGAAAAUCAUAAGCAUUGACAAAGCACUUGCAACUAUGACAUCAUGUCACUCAUGCUAGGAAUUGAACUUAACGCGAUCGUUUAUAAGCGACCUUCACUACAUGUGAAUAUAAGUUUGUAACGAUUAUGUGAAACUUCCUUAUAUUCUAGCAACGGAUUUAUGCAUGCCAAUUAAGUGUCGACCCUUAAUUAACAAAUACAAAUAAGUUAUCAAUCAAAUAGUUAAGCCAAUUGCAUUCACGAUUCAAGAGUUCAUAACUGGAAUUUAUCAAAUUAUAUUGCACACAUAAUCAUGGCUUUGAAAUCACCCCUAGCCAAAAGGGGUUUAGCCAUUCAUAUUUACAACAAAACGAAAGGAAAUGAAUUUAAACAUUAAAAACAAAAGAAAGAAAACAUCUAAACGCUCCAACGAUCCAAGUUGGACAGCAAACACGUCCAAGCACUUUCCUUCCCUUCCUUUGCUACGGCACAAGGUGUUGGUGAGUGUUUGAAGGUUUGUUCGUAUGGAGGAAUGGAUGUGAAGAUGAAUGGAUGUGUUUGGAUGAAGGUUGUGUUGAAAUGGGAGUGAAUGAUCUAACCAAGUAUGAACUAAAUUUAUGUUACACACACUUCCUUUCAUAGAGGAAGUGCAUGGAAAUGGAGGGGAACAUGGAGUGGUGUAGCAAUUGAGUGCAAUGAUUCAAUGUCAUGCAUGAAAUCUGAAAUGAUGGAGGGAACAAGGAAUGGUGAAAUCUGAAAUGAUGGAGGGAACAAGGAAUGGUGUAGCAAUUGAGUGCAAUGAGUGGUGUUUGAAAUGAUUCAAAGGUGAAAGUGAAGUGAUGAUGCAAAGCAUGGGGGUAAAAUGGAGUGGUGUUGCAAUUGAGUGCAAUGAUUCAAUGUAAUGAUGCAUGAAAUCUGAAAUGAUGGAGGGAACAAGGAAUGGUGUAGCAAUUGAGUGCAAUGAUUCAAUGUAAUGAUGCAUGAAAUUUGAAAUGAUAGAGGGAACAAAGAAUGGUGUAGCAAUUGAGUGCAAUGAGUAGUGUCUGAAAUGAUUCAAAGGUGAAAGUGAAGUGAUGAUGCAAAACAUAGGGGUCCAAAGGGAGUGCAAUGGUGGUGCACGGCAAUGAUGGAAAGGUGAAUGGUGGAGUGACACCCCUUUGUGGUUGAGCUCUUUGUGCUUUUUACAUUAAUUCUUCCUUCUCCUUAACACAUUCCUAGCCUCUUUAGUCUUCAAUUUCGUCCAUCCACCUUGCUCCAUGCAUGUGCUAUUCAUUCCAAGCCCAAAACUGCUCCAAAAUGCACCAAAAUGCAUCUUAUUGCUUCAUAAGGCCUAUGGACCUACAAACACACAAAAAUAGCUUAAAAUACAUAAUUAACUAAGAAAUAACAACAUAAAUGCAUGAGAACAAGCUAACUCAGUCGCAUAAAUAUGCUCCUAUCAUGGCUUAACCAUGACCACACAAACAGGAGGGCACGGGAGGGCACCGGAAGUGGGAAGGCAGACAAUCCUUGUCCCGUUCUUAGAGGACCUUUCCAGCUCCGUACGGUCCCGGACCCAAUAGGUCUCCUAAUGGAUCCACACUUGGGUCAAAGAAGCAUUUUAAUGUUUUAAUCUUAACUCUUGAUAUCAAAUCCAAGGAUACAUGAACAUAAAUUCUUAGUCACUUGAUUAACAAGAGAACAAGACUAAUAGUUAUUUAAAAUACUUCAAGUGGCGAUUACAUUUCCGAAGAAUGUAAAAAAGAAGUGAAGGUUACAUAACUUAAGAAUUAUAACAAAACAUAUGGGAAUGUAAACAUGUUCAUUUUAGAAUAUAACUGUGUAUAAUGAAAUCUACUGAAUGUCGUAACCAUUGGAAAUGGAUGUAAGAACUUCAUCAAAGUUGAUGACAUUUUUUCUCUUUAGAAAAUGAGAGUACCAAUGAGCAGAGAGUUUAGGUUGUCUUUUCAAAUCAGGGUCUUCCAAAUCCACGUAGUAUAGGCCGUAGCUCGAUUCAUAGCCGUCUAACAGUUCAAGAGAAUCCAAGAAGGACCAUGUUAAAUAACCUCUUGAGUUUGAUCCAUUCCUUCCAAAGUAAAAUAGGAUAAUUAGUAUUUUAGACGUAGUAUUUCCUAUGGUGAAAAAUAUAUCUAGCUUGACUAUCCCUAUAUUUACAUAAACACUUGCAUUAAACAUUUUCAUUUGGACUCGUCCAGUUAGCUUUGCAACAUGGAGAGGUCACAAGAUAAAUCAUAUAUACCUUAUAGCUUCAAGCAAAGAUUGGAUGUGCCCUUGCAAAAAUUUCACCCGCCCCAGUCCUCCAAAGAUGAAUCGCGUCGAGUCCGUUGACCUAAUGUUUAAUACAGAUAAAGAAGGAAAAUGAUAAGCAGAUAAUGGAAACUACUGCAUGGAAAGAGCCAAAAGUUAAGCUCUAGUACCAGGAAAUAUAAUGUAGAGUUUGAAGCAAAAUACACGCAACGCAUGCAUGGUCAGUAGUUAUGGGGAAAUCUUAAAUAAAACUUAUUUGAGAGUCUCUCAAUCGAAGCUCCCUCUAUAUAUCUACUUUUCCCUAUCAUGUUAUACAACACUACACAUUCAAAUAGAACUGCUUGGCUUAAAAUUUAAACCCCUGUACUAUCCAUUUACAGAAAAAAAAAAAUCACCACAUGGAUGAUGCAGAGAGAUACUUUCCACGCAACAAAAAAACCGAGAGAGAGAGAGAUACCAUUUUCAUGGAUAUAUAUAGGAGGAUUGCCAUAAUUUUCCUUGAUAUAUUCCAACAGUUCUUGCAGGCCCCAGGGAGAUAUUACAUACUGAUUCAAACAACACGAUCACUAGUGCUCUGAAAUUAAUCCAUAAGUAGUAUUGAGCCGGUUCUACUUUAUAUUAUGUUCAAGAUUUUACCUCAUAUGUUGUUGUACUAUUGCCCAGUGCUCCAAAUGGAAUUAAACAAACUUUUGUAAGCUCAAAGGAUUGCAGCUAAGCAUCUAAACAAGAAUAAACUCUCAUAAGUUCACGAACUAGGUGUUAGACAAGAGUCCACAGUACAAUGUAUCAGUAAUUAUCUUAAAAUAUUCUCUAUGUAAUUUACCACGUAUAGGACUCUUGUUGUUAAUGUAUUAUAAAACUUGUAUACGUUGAUGAAUGAAAGCAAACAAUUCCAACAUUUCCUCUACCUGUCAAUUAUUUUUUCACACAUUUCAUCGACUGAAUUAUUAAUGACAUGUCAUGGACACAUCGGUCAUUAAACUAAGGAGCGGACAUCAUGCAGAAAGAAUUUCACUACAUACGUAUAUAAAGGUCGUACCCAGUGCACAAGGCUCCCGCUUUACGCAGGGUCUGGGAGAGGUGAAUGUCGGCUAGCCUUACCCCCAUUUAUGGAGAGGCUGCUCCCAAGUCUCGAACCCGAGACCUACCGCUCAUGGGCGAAGGCACUUGCCAUCGCACCAAGUGCGACCUCUUCACUACAUACGUAUAUGUAUAAGAAAAAACUUACGCAAUAUCUUUAUUGCUGAGUCUGCCAUAAAGUCUCUGGUUUCCAUCUUUAAAGUGCUGGAGUAGUCCUUGAUGUUUGAUAUGUUAUAAUAAUUCAAUCCAAUGAAGUCAAAUGAACCCCUGACAAUUCGGGACUCAAGACUAGUAAAAACAGGAAUUCUAGAGCCUACUAUCUUUUUCAUUACAUCAGGGUAAUCUCCAAACACCAAGGGAUUCAAAACCCUACAAAAGGAAACACACGCAUUGGAAUUACAGGUACCUAAAACGGCAUUAUGUUUUGGACAAGUGAGAAAUAUAUAUAGAUGAAAAGAUGAGUACUCAACAUCUGACUUACCAACCAAAGUAGAAGUCCAUGGCUCUUUGGGUGGCAAGUUCAUCUUCAAUAGUUUUUGUUAGAGGAACAAACCAAUAGGCAAAAACAUUGAUUCCUAUAUAUCCAUGCUGCUUGUCCUGCAUAUCUCAAAAAUUUCUCUGAUCAACCUAUAUUUUUGUUUCAUGAAAAGUCUAAGUUUAUAUGGGAACCUCAUGUUACAUUAUUACUAGUAUUGGAACCUCAUGUUACAUUAUUACUAGUAUUGAUAUGUAACUUGCUAUAAAUAGAAAGGGGUGUUGGUAUUUUGUUUUAUGAGUUUGAGAAAUCAUGUUUUAAGGGAAUUUGACGUGCGUCUAACUUAUGAGUGUUUUUAUUGUGUACUACUGAUUAUCACAAAGAUAAAAGUUCUCAAAGCCCUUGACAGCGAAGAGUUUGAGAAUUACCUGGUACAUUUUCUUGUACAAUCUAGCAGCUGAUGCAUGAGCUAACAAGGUAUAAUGAGCUGCCAUGUAUGGCUCUGUUGAGGAAUUACCCCUAGAACAAUUGACACCAAAUGGAGCAGAACAUCGCUGUGGUGGAAGAAAUCCAAAAUCGUAACCCGCAAGUAUAAAAAUAUUAGGCUCAUUCAUAGUAGUCCAAUGCAAAACUCUAUCCCCGAAAUUUUUGAAGCACGCAUCUGCAUAUGUAGUGAAGUCUUUUCUGCAUCCACAAAAG
rnacentral:lncRNA from 1 species